CCUACGGGGGGCUGCAGUGGGGAAUAUUGCACAAUGGGGGAAACCCUGAUGCAGCAACGCCGCGUGAGCGAUGAAGGCCUUCGGGUCGUAAAGCUCUGUCCUAAGGGAAGAAUACUAACGGUACCUUAGGAGGAAGCCCCGGUUAACUACGUGCCAGCAGCCGCGGUAAUACGUAGGGGGCUAGCGUUAUCCGGAAUUACUGGGCGGAAAUGGUGCGUAGGCGGCCCUUCAAGUCAGAGGUGAAAGGCUACGGCUCAACCGUAGUAAGCCUUUGAAGCUGUAGGGCUUGGGUGCAGGAGAGAAAAGAGGAAUUCCCAAUGCAGAAGCGAAAUGCAUAGAGAUUGGGAGGAAAACCAGUAGCGAAGGCGGAUCUAAGGACUGUAACUCACGCUGAGGCACGAAAGCGUUGGGAGCUAACAAGCUUAGAUACCCGGGUAGUC
rnacentral:rRNA from 1 species